ACUCCUACGGGAGGCAGCAGUGGGGAAUAUUGGACAAUGGGCGCAAGCCUGAUCCAGCCAUGCCGCGUGAGUGAUGAAGGCCCUAGGGUUGUAAAGCUCUUUCAGCGAGGAGGAUAAUGACGUUACUCGCAGAAGAAGCCCGGCUAACUUCGUGCCAGCAGCCGCGGUAAUACGAAGGGGGCUAGCGUUGUUCGGAAUCACUGGGGCGUAAAGCGCACGUAGGCGGACUUUUAAGUCAGGGGUGAAAUCCCGGGGCUCAACCCCGGAACCUGCCUUUGAUACUGGAAGUCUUGAGUCCGAGAGAGGUGAGUGGAACUCCGAGUGUAGAGGUGAAAUUCGUAGAUAUUCGGAAGAACACCAGUGGCGAAGGCGGCUCACUGGCUCGGUACUGACGCUGAGGUGCGAAAGCGUGGGGGAGCAAACAGGAUUAGAUACCCUGGUAGGAUAGCG
rnacentral:rRNA from 1 species